AGCGAACGCUGGCGGCAGGCCUAACACAUGCAAGUCGAACGAAGUCUUCGGACUUAGUGGCGGACGGGUGAGUAACACGUGGGAACGUGCCUUUAGGUUCGGAAUAACUCAGGGAAACUUGUGCUAAUACCGAAUGUGCCCUUCGGGGGAAAGAUUUAUCGCCUUUAGAGCGGCCCGCGUCUGAUUAGCUAGGUGGGGAGGUAAAGGCUCACCAAGGCGACGAUCAGUAGCUGGUCUGAGAGGAUGAUCAGCCACAUUGGGACUGAGACACGGCCCAAACUCCUACGGGAGGCAGCAGUGGGGAAUCUUGCGCAAUGGGCGAAAGCCUGACGCAGCCAUGCCGCGUGAAUGAUGAAGGUCUUAGGAUUGUAAAAUUCUUUCACCGGGGACGAUAAUGACGGUACCCGGAGAAGAAGCCCCGGCUAACUUCGUGCCAGCAGCCGCCGUAAUAC
rnacentral:rRNA from 1 species